GGGACAGAAAGAAAGCAUAAUUAAAUUAAGUAUUGCAUCCACUGGCAAGUACACAAACAUCUGAGCAAUAAAUGAUUGUGUCAAUGCUGUGAUCCUCUUUCAAUAGAAUGUAUAAUCCUGUGAAGAAUAUUUCUUCAGUCA